ensembl:misc_RNA
AAAGAAGAGUUAUAGCACAGCCAGUGUCUGUGUAAUCUUACUCCUCAUAUUGUCCUGCCAAUGUUUCUCAACCCUGACUUGGAAGGACCAACUCCAGA